rnacentral:rRNA from 1 species
UACGGAGGGUGCAAGCGUUGUUCGGAUUUAUUGGGCGUAAAGGGUGCGUAGGCGGCGGAGUAAGUUGGGUGUGAAAUCCCGGGGCUUAACCUCGGAAUUGCAUUCAAUACUGCUUCGCUCGAGUACUGGAGAGGAGGCUGGAAUUUACGGUGUAGCAGUGAAAUGCGUAGAUAUCGUAAGGAAGGCCGGUGGCGAAAGCGAGCCUCUGGACAGUUACUGACGCUGAUGCACGAAGGCCAGGGGAGCAAACGGG